rnacentral:lncRNA from 1 species
GAGGUAACUUUCACCAUGACAACUUGUUACUUCUGAGACUUUUGGACCACUGAAGUUAGAAGAUAACAUUGUGUUUUUUGUAGAUGCCUAUCAUUCUUGCACUGUCAAACCCAACGUCUCAGGCUGAGUGCACCGCCGAACAGGCCUACACAUGGAGCAAGGUAAUGAUCUCUAUCAGCAGUCACCUCGCCUGUUGGAAAUUGUUAUUGAUAGAGCUAUGCAACAUUAUCAAUCAGCAGCAAUAUUUUGGUGCUAACAGUCUGUGUUAGCAGGGUCGAGCAGUGUUUGCAACUGGAAGCCCAUUUGAUCCAGUGGAGUACAAUGGCAAGAUGUAUGUGCCUGGUCAGGUGUGAAUAACUAACUCAUGUUCAUCUCAGAGAUUUUAGCUGCUUCCAAUGGUCUGAACGAAACUAUUUGAUCUUCGGUCCUGGUAUACAGGCGAACAAUGCCUAUAUCUUCCCAGGGUUUGGCCUUGGUGUGGUGAUGUCUGGGGCAAUCCGUGUGCAUGAUGACAUGCUUCUUGCAGCCUGUAAGUACUACUAGGGAUAGCAAGUAUGCAUUAUAUGGCAUACCAUCUACUGUCAAUAAGUGAAUUCACAUUGUCACCAUAUGGUCGUGUCUGCAUGAGCUUGAAUCAGCCAAAGAAGAUGUGGUACAAAGUAAACAGUACAUUCUUGUCAAUAAGUGAAUUUUUCCGUUUAACCUUUUUUGUCUACCGUGGAAGUCCACUAGGCUAAAUAGAAUUACUUUGUGGAUGGAUGCAUACUUUAGAUCUUCUUGAAAUAUAUGCUGAAUCAACAUACUUACUUUACAUUCCUUAUCCUGUAACAGCGGAGGCUCUGGCUCAGCAGGUCACACAGGAGAAUUUCGACAAGGGGCUCAUUUAUCCUCCCUUCUCAAACAUCAGAAAGAUCUCUGCUCACAUUGCAGCCAACGUUGCUGCAAAGGCAUAUGAACUUGGUCAGCAUCAUACUUACCUAAUUCCCUAACAAAGGGACAUCUAUGCUUGUUAACUGCUUGUCUGAUCCUCGAUUCAUCUGACGUGUAGGUCUGGCAAGUAGGCGCCCUCGGCCAAAGGACCUGGUGAAGUAUGCAGAGAGCUGCAUGUACAGCCCAAUUUACCGCAACUACCGGUGAAUCCAAAUCCAUUUCGAUUAUGUACAGCUGCUAUUUAUCCAAUAAUUUUCUGCAAAAUCCGUUAAAAGAACAAUACCUGGCCAGUACCAGAUGCUGUGGUUAAGCUGUGCAACCGGAGCUGGUCUAAGCUCUGUUUCUUUUCUUCUUC